UUGGGUGCUAGGAGUGAGAAUGACUUUCUGCUAGAAAUAAUUGAACAUUAGGGAUUUGAUCCUUAUGUAAUAAUUUGGUUAUAAACACUUCAGGUUCUCCAUAUCCAUGAUGUCUCUGGGAAACCUCUCUCCUUCCUCAGUUGAACAUGCCUACCUGUAAAGAAGACACUACCUUGUUAAAGCUGAAGACCAAUCUUCUAGACUCCUCGGGGAACUGAGCAGUGGCAACAAACACUUAUAUGAGACAGCCUCAGGGUGGAAGCGAAUUUUAGAAGUACAAUAUCUGGAGCACCACACAGCCACUUAUGUCUAUCUACAAAUGCUUUUCUCUGAGAAGUCCUGAUCACACCAUAUAGGAUGUGGUGUUCUGCUCCUUAAAUGAAGAGCUCAUGAGAAG